AGCGAACGCUGGCGGCAGGCUUAACACAUGCAAGUCGAGCGGGCAUCCUUGUGGUGUCAGCGGCAGACGGGUGAGUAACGCGUGGGAACGUGCCCUUCGGUUCGGAAUAACUCAGGGAAACUUGAGCUAAUACCGGAUACGUGCGAGAGCAGAAAGGUUUAUCUGCCGAAGGAUCGGCCCGCGUCUGAUUAGCUAGUUGGUGAGGUUACGGCUCACCAAGGCGACGAUCAGUAGCUGGUCUGAGAGGAUGAUCAGCCACACUGGGACUGAGACACGGCCCAGACUCCUACGGGAGGCAGCAGUGGGGAAUAUUGGACGAUGGAGGCAAACCUGAUCCAGCCAUGCCGCGUGAGUGAUGACGGCCUUAGGGUUGUAAAGCUCUUUUCUCCGGGACGAUAAUGACGGUACCGGAGGAAUAAGCCCCGGCUAACUUCGUG
rnacentral:rRNA from 1 species